rnacentral:rRNA from 1 species
AGACCCGAAACCCGGUGAUCUAGCCAUGGGCAGGUUGAAGGUUGGGUAACACUAACUGGAGGACCGAACCGACUAAUGUUGAAAAAUUAGCGGAUGACCUGUGGCUGGGGGUGAAAGGCCAAUCAAACCGGGAGAUAGCUGGUUCUCCCCGAAAGCUAUUUAGGUAGCGCCUCGUGAAUUCAUCUCCGGGGGUAGAGCACUGUUUCGGCUAGGGGGCCAUCCCGGCUUACCAACCCGAUGCAAACUGCGAAUACCGGAGAAUGUUAUCACGGGAGACACACGGCGGGUGCUAACGUCCGUCGUGAAGAGGGAAACAACCCAGACCGCCAGCUAAGGUCCCAAAGUCAUGGUUAAGUGGGAAACGAUGUGGGAAGGCCCAGACAGCCAGGAUGUUGGCUUAGAAGCAGCCAUCAUUUAAAGAAAGCGUAAUAGCUCACUGGUCGAGUCGGCCUGCGCGGAAGAUGUAACGGGGCUAAACCAUGCACCGAAGCUGCGGCAGCGAACGUAUCACCCAAGACAACUUUACGGAGUUGACGAUUGACGGAGCGAAGCGACGUCAAAGCGUUCAUUAAAGUCGAGUUGGCUUAGGGAUACGUUCGUUGGGUAGGGGAGCGUUCUGUAAGCCUGUGAAGGUGUGUCGUGAGGCAUGCUGGAGGUAUCAGAAGUGCGAAUGCUGACAUAAGUAACGAUAAAGCGGGUGAAAAGCCCGCUCGCCGGAAGACCAAGGGUUCCUGUCCAACGUUAAUCGGGGCAGGGUGAGUCGACCCCUAAGGCGAGGCCGAAAGGCGUAGUCGAUGGGAAACGGGUUAAUAUUCCCGUACUUGGUGUUACUGCGAAGGGGGGACGGAGAAGGCUAUGUUGGCCGGGCGACGGUUGUCCCGGUUUAAGCGUGUAGGUGUGUGUUCCAGGUAAAUCCGGUUCACUUUAACACUGAGGCGUGACGACGAGGCACUACGGUGCUGAAGCAACAAAUGCCCUGCUUCCAGGAAAAGCCUCUAAGCAUCAGGUAACACGAAAUCGUACCCCAAACCGACACAGGUGGUCAGGUAGAGAAUAC